rnacentral:rRNA from 1 species
ACGUAGGGUGCAAGCGUUAAUCGGAAUUACUGGGCGUAAAGCGUGCGCAGGCGGUUAUUUAAGACAGGCGUGAAAGCCCCGGGCUCAACCUGGGAGGUGCGCUUGUGACUGGAUAGCUAGAGUGUGGCAGAGGGGGGUGGAAUUCCACGUGUAGCAGUGAAAUGCGUAGAGAUGUGGAGGAACACCGAUGGCGAAGGCAGCCCCCUGGGCUAGCACUGACGCUCAGGCACGAAAGCGUGGGGAGCAAACAGGAUUAGAUACCCUGGUAGUCCACGCCCUAAACGAUGUCAACUGGUUGUCGGGGGGGUUACUCCUUGGUAACGAAGCUAACGCGUGAAGUUGACCGCCUGGGGAGUACGGCCGCAAGGUUG